rnacentral:piRNA from 1 species
UCUAGGGAACAAGGAAGCUCGCUAUGGA